GGUGGAGCGAUUUGUCUGGUUAAUUCCGAUAACGAACGAGACUCUAGCCUACUAAAUAGUAGUUGAAUUUUUAGUUCAACGUACUUCUUAGAGGGACAAAGGGUAUCUAGCCCUACGAGAUUGAGCAAUAACAGGUCUGUGAUGCCCUUAGAUGUCCGGGGCUGCACGCGCGCUACACUGAAGGAGUCAACAUGCAUUGAUACCUAGUCCGGAAGGACCGGGUAACCCAAUGAAACUCCUUCGUGAUUGGGAUAGGGAAUUGUAAUUAUUUCCCUUGAACGAGGAAUUCCUAGUAAAUGCGGGUCAUCAUCUCGCGUUGAAUACGUCCCUGCCCUUUGUAC
rnacentral:rRNA from 1 species